UACGUAGGGGCAAGGCGUUAUCCGGAUUUACUGGGUGUAAAGGGAGCGUAGACGGCGAUGCAAGCCAGAUGUGAAAGCCCGCGGCUCAACUGCGGUAGUGCAUUUGGAACUGUAUGGCUGGAGUGCAGGAGAGGCAGGCGGAAUUCCUAGUGUAGCGGUGAAAUGCUUAGAUAUCACGAAGAACCCGAUUGCGAAGGCAGCCUGCCGCAGCGUUACUGACGCUGAAGCUCGAAAGCGCGGGUAUCGAACAGG
rnacentral:rRNA from 1 species